rnacentral:tRNA from 1 species
AACAUAGAAGUAAAAUUUUACAUUUAGUUUCGACCUAAAUUAAAGGAAUCAUCCUCAUGUUU